GAUCAACGCUGGCGGCGUGCUUAACACAUGCAAGUCGAACGAAGUUUUUCCUUCGGGAGACACUUAGUGGCGGACGGGUGAGUAACGCGUGGGUAACCUGCCCUGUACAGGGGGACAACAGCUGGAAACGGCUGCUAAUACCGCAUAAGCACUUAGCACUGCAUGGUGCAUAGGGAAAAGGAGCAAUCCGGUACAGGAUGGACCCGCGUCUGAUUAGCCAGUUGGCAGGGUAACGGCCUACCAAAGCGACGAUCAGUAGCCGAUCUGAGAGGAUGUACGGCCACAUUGGGACUGAGACACGGCCCAGACUCCUACGGGAGGCAGCAGUGGGGAAUAUUGCACAAUGGAGGAAACUCUGAUGCAGCGACGCCGCGUGAGUGAAGAAGUAUUUCGGUAUGUAAAGCUCUAUCAGCAGGGAAGAAAAUGACGGUACCUGACUAAGAAGCACCGGCUAAAUACGUG
rnacentral:rRNA from 1 species